UGGGGAAUUUUGGACAAAUGGGCGCAAAGCCGUGAUCCUAGCCUAUGCCGCGUGCGGGAAGAAGGCCUUCGGGUUGUAAACCGCUUUUGUCAGGGAAGAAACGAUCCGCUCUAAUACAGUGGGUUAAUGACGGUACCUGAAGAAUAAGCACCGGCUAACUACGUG
rnacentral:rRNA from 1 species